rnacentral:rRNA from 1 species
UGAACGCUGGCGGCCGGCCUAACACAUGCACGUCGCGCGGCUGAAGGGAGCUUGCUCCUGGCUUCAGCGGCGGACGGGUGAGUAAUGCCUAGGAAUCUGCCUGGUAGUGGGGGAUAACGUCCGGAAACGGGCGCUAAUACCGCAUACGUCCUGAGGGAGAAAGUGGGGGAUCUUCGGACCUCACGCUAUCAGAUGAGCCUAGGUCGGAUUAGCUAGUUGGUGGGGUAAAGGCCUACCAAGGCGACGAUCCGUAACUGGUCUGAGAGGAUGAUCAGUCACACUGGAACUGAGACACGGUCCAGACUCCUACGGGAGGCAGCAGUGGGGAAUAUUGGACAAUGGGCGAAAGCCUGAUCCAGCCAUGCCGCGUGUGUGAAGAAGGUCUUCGGAUUGUAAAGCACUUUAAGUUGGGAGGAAGGGCAGUAAGUUAAUACCUUGCUGUUUUGACGUUACCAACAGAAUAAGCACCGGCUAACUUCGUG